CCCACUGCCCUAUGCUACAUGGGGGGGGGGCUUUUCCACAAGCCCCCCGACCACCCCCUCGCUCCCCCACAGCUGCCUCACCUGCCCAUGCUCUGGCCCUUUAAGGAAAAAAAACAAAUGAGAACAAGCCUGGGACUCACUGCUCCUGCAGCAGCCUUGGGGCUUCGGAAGGCUCAUGAAGAACCCCCCAUGUGGCACAGGGCAGCGGGGAUCACGCCCCCUCCAGCAGGAAUGAAUUAUUCAUCCACAUGGUGACCCUUGUCCUCAUGAAAAGCAUUGGGCUAGUUGCUGAUGAAGAUCUCAAAAUAACCUGAGAAAGCCUACUUUCUUAAAUAUCUCCAAAUGCAGCUGAAGGAGGAAAGAGUGCACAGAUUUUCAGCAUGCUCCUUUGAUUCAGGGUUUAAAGUAGUUUCUGAUCACUUCAACCAGCGUAUGUGUAAUGUCUGUCCCUAGACCUUAUGUCCACUGUGAUGUGUACCACCUCCUGACAUUCCUGAGUAUUAAGAUUAAUAAAAGGAUGACUUUCGACCCCAUUUCUGCUUCUGCACUUCAAGCUCCAUCACAACCAAGAAAUGUUAACUGAUAGCUGGUAUUUCUUCAAUCAGCAUUGCUCACCAAACUUAGAGGAGGCCAGGUAUAUCAACUACCCUAUAUUUUUAAGUUUUUAGUUUCUACAACCUUCCCCUCCCCCAAAAACCCAAACAAACCAGAGUUGUACUAUACAUAAAAUUCUCUACUAGUACAGAGCUAUGGUUAAUACCAGGAAAUAUUUAAGUUGGGAAGUAAAAAAUACUAUAUCUAAUUAAAACAUAAGCAAUAUCCAUAAAUAAAAUGAGAUUGGUAAGAAAAG